rnacentral:rRNA from 1 species
UUAAGCAUAUUAAUAAGCGGAAGAAAAGAAACUAACAAGGAUACUGUUAGUAAUGGCGAAUGAACACUGUUUUACCAUUAUUGAACUUUACAUCUACUCGAUGUAAGGAGUGUGAUAUUGGUGUGAUUUUAUUUGAUUUCUUCGAUUGAUGCAAGUUUGAUUGAUUGCAACUUCUCAUAGAGGGUGAAAGUCCCGUAUCAUCUUUCGAGAGAAAUUCAUUUCUAUCACGUACGAGUAAAGCUGUUUCGAAUUGCAGCUCGAAUUUACGUGGUGAACUCCAUGUAAGAUUUAAUAUGGUCGCGAGACCGAUAGAGAACAAGUACCGUGAGGGAAAGUUGAAAAGUACUCUGAAAAGAGAGUGAACAAGCCUGUGAAACUGUGCAUUGCAAAGCGAAUGAUAGAAAGUGAUAACUCAUCGUUCAAUCACUCGUUUGUCCUUAUUUGAUUACUUUAAAGAGUCAUAACGAGUGUCUUGUUCAAAGAGUUUCCAUUAUGCAGCGUCUGUCAAUUAUGCUUUUCAAUGAAAGAAUUUGUAUCUUCAAGAUACUUGUUGUUCAUUGUCAGUUUGCGUUUUGCAUAAAAGCAGACAUGACUGGUGUUUAUUUAUUGCUUGAUAUAAUGAAUUCUUCUUUGCAGUUUUUGUAAAGUGUGAAUUAUCAAGUUCGAUUGGGGCAUAUAUUUGAAAAUCUGUCAUCUGAACCGUCUUGAAACACGGACUAAGGAGUUCAACUUGAGCGCAAGUCGACUACGUGAAUAAAUUUUGAGGCAAAGUGAAAGCAAUUUUAUGUUAACGGAAAUUCAUAUUGAAUUACGAUUAGCACAUGUUAUGGGUAGCGGUUUUUUAAUUGCUUACUGCAACAGAGCGCUUUGGUUGUGACCCGA